CUUCCAGGCGCCGCCGCUCCCUCGCUCGGCCGCGCUGUCCCGCAGCUCCGAAGUUUCCUGCGCCCCGUGUGGGGCGGUGAAGCCUUUUCCAAACCCACUCCCGGCCCUCCGCGCCCUCAGGGGUGGUCCGGGACACCCUGGCCCCGUCCCUCCACGCUGUCGGGGUGGCCCGGGGCCCGCCAGGACCCCCCGGUCCCUCGGUGCGCGGCUCCGCUCGCCCGCCGCCCUUGCUUCCCGAAGGAACUGUUGCACGCCGAGAUCCAGCCGGGAAGUUGGGCGGCGGCUCAAAAUAGCUCCGGUGUCGGCGUUCCGUGCCCGGCGCCAGGCAGGGUCCGGAUUUACCGGCGCUGAGCUGCCGGAGGCUGGGAACAAAGCAGGUAGACGCCUCCGGGAUCAUGGCGCGGCCGCUGUCCCGGCGCCCUCGAGGUGUUCCCGGGGCUCUGGGGAAGCCGAGCCGCUGGAACGCGCUCAGUGCCGGCCGGUCCGCCCGCCCUUUGUGUCCCCAAGUGCUCCGCGGCCACCGCGGGGUCCCCGCAGGCGCCUCAGCCCCGGGCUGCCCUCGCCUCCAUGUCCAAGCCAGGAAUUUUCACUUUCCAAGUUAAAGCCAGCGCCACUUUUAGUUCCCGAGGCCCCGGGGAGGUUUCCGUGGCGUGAAGGAGCUAUCGAUAUUCUUUGUCGUGGCUCAGGUUCUGUGAAAAAACGUUGCUAAAAAUAUUUUUAAACACUGGCAUUUAUUCGUGAAGAUCCAUCGUAGUGGCACUGUGGAUUUGGGAGGGUGUCUCUCCGGGGUAGAUGGCUCGGUGGGUCGGGAACGCGUUCUUUUAUGAUCGUGUGGCAAAACAAUUCCUGCCUUGGAGUGGAAACCUCGAGUACUCGAGAUAGAGCUUGAUUUACAGCGUUGUAAAACGAGUGUCGAUCUGUGCUUUCCCGGCUGUGCUUAGUGGUAAUGGUCUGUCGUUUGGUUUUUUCUUGGUGGAAUUUAAGGUGGGAUAUCACAUUACCAAGCCUAACUCAGGAGUUUUCUGUCUGUAGUCCCUGAGCGCUCAGUAAUCCACAAAAGGUUAAUCGAGGAAAUCAAGGUUAUUGCUCGUAGGUUUCUACCGAUUACAGAGAGGGGGGUGUGUGUGUGCAGUGCACAAGUCCCUUGGAAAGAAAUGUUGAGUCCUAAAAUAAAAAGAUUAAAAACUAACGAUCUAUCUGCUUUUGAUUUUGGUUAUGUCUCAAGCUGUGUUUGGCCAAGCCUUAGCUGAGGAUUGUUCUAACUUUUAGUGAUCAAUCCUUCUUUUUGUCUGCUCCAGUUGGAGCAGAAAGGCUCAAUGUUAAAAUUAGGACUAUGGUGUGCAGAUUCUGAAGAACUGCCUUUUUUUUUGAAGAAGACUAUUGCUGUUUUUUUUUCUUCUACUUUUAUGUGGUUGUGUCUCUGAGAGUUGAAGUACGAAGAUUUGAACAGUAGAAAUCAUCUUCCCAGACUUACCAAGAUGUCUUUUCUGGAUUCUGCUCCAAUAAAAUGCACAUAACUUUGGUUAAAAACAGAACUUUGAUGCCUUGGUUAAGGUCUCAUAUUUACUGUUCUUCUUGUCACCUAAACAAGUUCAUUUGCUUGAGAGCCUUGAAAGAAUAGAAUCUAGCAAAGCUUUCCCACUGAAUUGAUGUUGAGAUCUGCAUUGGUGGUGGCAAGACAUGCUCAGUCCUUACUGACUCCUGCUUUUCACCAAGGGGUUGGCACAGGAUGUGCUUGUCUUGUGGAGCUGCUGCACUUUUACCCCAAAUGGCAUUUAUGGCCUUAAUAAACCCACUGAUUGGGCUGCUAGUCGGGUGUGGUUGUUCAAGUGCAGAUUUCCCAGAAAAGAGGUCUGUUGUUGUGCCUUCUUCUGUGCAGGGCAGUGUAGGUGUGGGUCUUUUCUCUUUCAGACUUUAGCAGCUCUGUGUAGGAGCUUUGUUCUCUGACCCACUAGUCAAGACUGCAGUGAUCAGCUGGGUGCCACUGGUUGUUGGUCACUGCUGGUCUGAUCUGCGUGGGAAGUAAGGCCUCUUGCUAUUUAUAAUUUAUUUUUUUUAGUAGUGUUUCAACAGUCUGUCAGAAAAAAAUGGAGGACAGGAAUUUCAUUGUAACUUAGGAAUAGUAUUGGGAGACUCGAGGCAUUGUCCAUGUGCAUUUUUUUGUUUUUUGUUUGGGCAAAUUAUUUUUUGCAAAUUUGUCUAAACAGUUAUGUAUUCAGAUACAAAAUGAAGUAGUUUAUAUAUCUCUUCUUUGCUUGCUGCACUUUUUCAGCCACCAAAUCAAAGGAAAAGUAUUUUAGCAAGUCCAUGACUAACAAUGCAGUUGGGAGGAAGAUGUGUCUGUGUGGAUGGUACUUGUUUAUUGAGCCCUUCGCUGGGAUGGUUGUGUUGUGCUACAGUGUGAAAUAUCAGAAAUAUCGACAGUGACCAUGUUUUGAAGUUAGGCAUCUAAGAACUAAUUGUUGUUUCCUAUUUACUCAGUGUUUUAGUUUCAUGUGAACUGGCAAUCAAGUGGCACUCUAUAAAUAGCCUCUCCCAGCUUCUGAAGACAGCUGCUCCAGGAAGGAUCUGUGUAAUGUACCCUUCCAUGCAGAUAGCUCACCCCUGGAAUUUAUUUUGGAAUUUAUUUUGCCUUGCAAAAACUCUGUCUGAUUUUGCAAGAUCUCUAAAUAAUUGCUCUGAAGCCCAGUCAGUUCUGGACAGAGUUCCAGAGAAACAGCUCAUGAAGAUGGGGCUGUAGGUGCAUCCCUGGGAUAUGUCCUUCAGAUGUUAUCCUUUGGUGAGAGCUCCUGCUGUGAUGAGAGAAGGAAGAUGUGGGUCUCAGCAAUGUAUCUGUUAGCUACGUUUCCUUCAGCAUUUGUUGGCUAAUUAGGCUCAAUUUCAGACAGCUCUUGUAUUUGAGGUCUCCAGAGGAAGGCGGGCCUGGGGGAGGCUGUCAGCAACUCUCUUUAGUUCAGUUUAGGCAUCCUCUUAGCCUGGCACUGGUGGGAGGAGCCCUGCUGCUGGAUCCCAGAUGGAAACUGAGUUUCAGACUGCUUUCAGUAGCGUGUGGUGGGGCUUUUACCCUGAAAAACAUUGGUACAAACUGUAGGAUCCAAGUUAAAUUCUGCCUUGAAGCUGGCAAGUGUAAUUACUCAGGAUACUUUCACUGGAAUCUCCAAAUCUUGCAAUUUUGUAUCAUUGUGGCAAUGUUUCAGCUUGGAGUGAACAAACCUGUUCUGGUGGCAGGUAAAGUGUUCUGUGCCAGCACAAUAAAGGCCUCUGUGUGGAUUAAAUAUAGCAUAUAAUGAUCUGGCUAGAGAAAUGGCAGCAUGGGUUUCUUGCAAGAGAGAGGAAUCCAUAAUUCCUCUGAAGUAUUUAAUGUGAUGGGUUUAUUUGCUUUUCUGUGAAGGCUCCUGCUGCCAAGAAUGGCUCUGUUUAGACAGCAGGAAGAAUGAAGACUUUUCCUUUUUAUUUUUAUUUGUUUUGGGGUUUUUGUUUGAGUGGUUUAUUUUUGCUGUCUGACAUAGCAGGCUAUCCAAAGAAAAGUCUCUCAGUUUAAAAGAAGAACUGAUGCUGUAUUUUAACUCAGAGUGGUUGUUGGAAGCUGUGGUGCUUCAUACAGUGGAAGCAAAUAUCAAAAUAAUCAGCUCUUUCCAAUCUCUGAUAUCUUCGUGCAGAUACUAUUUCCUGAAAUCUUCAUUCCUUCUUUUUCUUUUAAGUUCAGCAUAUAUCUUAAAGAUAGCAUUGUGGUGCUUUCCCAUGAGCUCUCACUCCUCCUUAAAAGAUUGUUUCAUAUCUUUCUAAGUUUUUAUCAUCCUGGUUUUUAAGAUAUGGGAAAAGUUUGAUGUCUGUAAAAAACUCACUGCAAGGAAACCAGUAGUUAGAUUCAUUGUGAUAGAAUUUUGUAAAGCUUCAGCAGUCCUUAGUAAAAAGAGAUCUGUGAAUAUUUGUAUGUAGGGAGAACUCACCAAAUCACUUAGGUUUCAAUAGUUCCCCCUCUUUAUAGGGAUGAACCUCAGUAACCCCAGAGCUAAUUACAGUUUUGAAGUUAGUUGAUUGGCCUGCUCAUAAGUAGGGUUGAAAACCAGGCAAGAAUAGCUGUUAUAACUGAUUAGUUUGGAUACUGACUGCCUUCCAUUCAUGUCAGUUUAUAAAACUAGUAGUGGCUGGUUGAAUGAAGAUAGAAUUGGAUGUUGCUGUUGAACAUUUGGUAUUUCCUAAAAUACAUUGCCCAGAGUGUGAGAGUGCAAUUAAAAUACUUCCUUAAAAUACUGUAAACUUUCAUUCUCUCUUUUGCUUUUGCUUGGUCAAACAAACCAAACAAACCCAGCAGAAGGGAAACUUGAAUGCUGGGGAGAACAACCAAAAAGAAAGGCAUUAUUUUCCCCAGUUUUUGCUCCAGCUAUAUUUUAACAUGUGGUAUCUCGGUCUUUGAAAAUAAUGCAGAGUAAGAAGGGUCAGAGAGCUUUAACAUGAUCAGCUUUGUAGCUGGUGCUCUUGUGGACUUGGAGAUGGGCAGAGUAUUUAAUCAGCCUUUCUUCUUAAAUUCUUUGCAUUAUACUUUUGAUGUUUAGUUUUUGGUUUUUUGUUUUUGUGAGUUUUUUGUUUUUGUUUUUUGGGAUUUUUUGUUGUUGUUGUGGUGGUUGUUGUUGUUUUUGUUUUUUGUACACUGUUAUAUUUCAUGUCCUAAACCUCUGGAAUUAAUUUUCUUUUCCACCAUGAGUUAAAACCACUCAUCUGUCACAGCUAAACUCCAGAUCUGGUAGAGGUGUUUUAUGUUAUUUCUUCUUCAAGUCUAACAGGUUAACUGCUGCUUGAAAAAGAAGCAUUAUAAAUGUACCUGAUGGUCUGAUUAUGAGAGCACAGUUCUGUAGUGAUAUAUUCUAUUACACUUCAAAUACUGUGUGAAACUUUACUAAUUGAAGUGUAUAGAACGAUGUAAGUGAACUCCUCAGAUUUUUUUUGUUACAAGUUAUUUCUGAAUAAUAGAAAUAGGCAGAGGCAGAAUUCAAGUUCACUGUGUAAUGAAUGACUUGGAGGAAAACACAUCUGUAGAACAAUUUUUACAUGCUCAGUCUAAUAUUGGAAGGAGGCAGGAAACGUUAGGAAGGCAGGAAAUUUGGUGUAGUCAUUGGAUCUUCACUGGUUGUGUAGAAAAGCUUAAGAUGCCUGAGAGCAUUGCAGAAAAGAGAUGUAACUUUUUAAUUGAAAAAUCCACAAGAGAGGACAGUGAUCAGGUAUUGCCUUAAACUGGAUGUCUUUGGAGUUUUUCCCCCUUGUUAAUAAAAUCAAGGCUUAGUGACUACAGUCCUAAAAAAAAUUACAGAUGGGCUAAUGAAAGAACAAUGUGGCAUUGAGACCUGUUGAUAACAAAUUGAAUUUGGAGGAGUUUAAUCAAGAGACUGUGUCUGAAAUGAAUUCCCUGAUACUAUCUCAUUUUAGUUGGUACCAAGGAGCAGAAAGGCACUAUAUGUAUGUCUAAAACAGCUUGUAGGAAAAGAUAUGAGGGGUGAUCCUAGCAUACAGGAUUAAUGACUUCUUUUUUUUUUCCUACUUCAAAGUAAAUCAGCUCAUAUAAUAAAGACACCCAUUUUAAUGCCUUUAAUGUUGGUAAAGGAUAGUAAAAGCACAGUGUGACAGAAUCAUCUGGACAAAACAACAAAAAAUGCUGGCUGGUAAUAAUUUAGUAGAUAUCAGAAAACCAGAAAGAGAUGUGAGCCGGGAGGAAGAAUUAAGGUUAGAUGAGUAUUUCUGUGGCCUGAGUGCUGAAUGUUUAGCUUUAAUUUCAGUUUAAUCAGCCUUCUGUUAUCUUUGGGCUUAUUUCAAGCAUAGACUAACUGAGCUAUGGGAGUGAAGAACAGGAGACAAUUGGACCUGCAAGGGGUACAGCCAUGUAGCAUUAAUCUAGGUAAUUUGACAACUUUUUUUGCUGUUAUCUUAGAAAUCUUCACACGUGGUUGAUAUCAUUGACCUUUUUUCAAUUACAUCUUCCUGUGUGUUUUGUGGUUUAAUUGAUAUAGUUUGUUACUGCUUCUUUCUCUACAGUGUUGUCCCAUUUUACUUCCAUUCAGUGAUGACGUGUUGAUGAUAAUUUUUGUGUAUUUUCUUUAAAAAAAAAGGAAAAAUUACAUGCAGGGUCUGGUAUUAUUUGGUGCCUUCUGUCACUCUGUCCUAAAAUAAGAGAAUUAUUUCCAGUGGCUGUUUUUAGGAUGCUGGGGAUUCAUAGUAGCACAGCUUCUGGUUUUUAUGUACAAACAAACGCCAGUUUGUGUGAAACUGUAGGCCCUUAUGGGUCACAUUAUUAUGUUCUUUGGUGGGAUUACUUUGCAGAAACCUGCUUUUUGGGUUUUGUUUUUUCUUUUUUAAAUUUUUAAAAAAUUAUUAUACUACUGCCUAGAUCAGAACUUAUCAAUGAACCUAGUUACUGAGUUUUUAUGUUUUAAUUUUCUAAACCACCAGCUGUUUUGCUGCUGUUGCAUUUUGACAUAUGAAUUAAAAUGGAAGGUGGAUUUCUGGCAUUAUAUUUGGCCAGAAAGAAAUGAUGAAAAAUUGGUAUAACUGUUUCAGGCUGUUGAUUUUCUGUCCUUCAGAAAUUCAGGAGGCCUUUCCAGUUGUCUGCAGAUUUGUCAUAAUUUCUUCAAAUGGACAGAACUAUGCAGAUGUACUUUUUUGAUUUUAAGGGAUUAACCUUAUGUGUCAUAUCUGUGAUUAACAGAACAUUAAUCAUGGGUGUUAAUGGCUGCCAGGUAGUAGGAGUGUGUGUAAGUGGGUUGUAGUCCCAAGGCUUUGCAUGUAUUAUAAUAUUUGAAAUAUACUAAGUCUUAGGUUGCAAAUGUAUUUGCUUUUAUCCUUUGGAGCCUCAGUGUUCUUCUGCAGACAGCUGGAGACUGCAGACAUUUGUGUGCACUUCUAAUAUAUUUUCAUUUUUGAUUGCAAUAUUUCAUUGCAUUUACAUUGUGUGCUCUUAAAGACUGUGUUUGUACAGGAAAUGUGUUUGCUUUGUAAAUAACUGCCUGCCUUGAUGCUGAGUAUUUCAGACAGCUUCGUAGUUAAGUUGUACCUUGAUCUUUUAAUAAUGAGCUUUGAUACAUGAAAGCUGUCUCUCGCUGCAAAAACAAGUCGUGUACAGCAUGUACUGGAUUUGUAUUUCAGGAUGAGGCAGGGAUGAGAGAUCCUUUAGAUUUCUUUCCUUUAUUUAUUUAUUUAAAUUUUUUUUCCCUCCCAUAGCUUUCUUCCAGUUGGAUUGCUUCCAUUAACUGCAUUAGGGCAGACCAUUAAACCUGCCUGUGUUCAGUCACUUCCAAGAUGUUGCACUGCAGCUCUGAUUUGCAGGCUUUCCUCUUGGAAGAUUGUGUCAUCAGUGCUGACUGUUCUCUAACAGAUACCAUGGGCAAGAUGAGAAUCUGUCCCUUCUCUUCCCUGUGAACUUGGUGUGUUCUGAACCAUCAGUGCUUGUUCAGCCCUUUUUGAACUGCUGAAACUUCACCAAAAUAACAAACUGUUAAAAUUAAACUGUUAAACCCAA